GGUGAUGAUGAAAACCAACAAUUCUAGGGAAUUCCUCAUUCAGAAUAUAUCAUGUAGAUUUGUUUAGUUUCAGCCUUGUCUGACC
rnacentral:snoRNA from 1 species